UACGAAGGGGGCUAGCGUUGCUCGGAAUUACUGGGCGUAAAGCGCACGUAGGCGGCUUUCUAAGUCAGGGGUGAAAUCCUGGAGCUCAACUCCAGAACUGCCUUUGAUACUGGAAAGCUUGAGUUCGGGAGAGGUGAGUGGAACUGCGAGUGUAGAGGUGAAAUUCGUAGAUAUUCGCAAGAACACCAGUGGCGAAGGCGGCUCACUGGCCCGAUACUGACGCUGAGGUGCGAAAGCGUGGGGAGCAAACAGG
rnacentral:rRNA from 1 species